UUCUUCCUACCCUUGUCCUCCGAGAACGACGGGGACAAGGGAGGCGGCGGCGGCACUGUCCAGCAGUGGGGAAGGAGAAUGGGGAACGGGAAGAAAGAUUGAGUUCGUGUGUUGUGUGUGUGAAUAAAAGUAUUUCAAUGGGCCAAGCACAAAAAACAGUGCAAAAUAAAUUACAAAUUUCUACUAUUAAAGAAGAAUCGAACGUCGUGAUGGUUCAACCUCCCGAUGGUUCGACCUCCGCCUCCUAUCGAUCGACCUCUCCCCCCACCCUUCGUACGCACGAUUAAAAAAAUCAGGAAAACUAUCCCUCACGUGAAAAGAAGAAAAAUAAUCCAUCGCAACAAAUAUCGGGAGAAAACAACUGCAAAGCGAUCGUGCGCACGCACGACAUGCACGAUAGCAAAAGCCGUCCUCCUCUCCUCUCUCCUCGAGCUACCGUCCUGUGUUCCCCACCGGCGAGACCGCAGGUCCCCGUUCCCUCCUUCGACUCCGCCGUCUAAAUCCUAGGGUGUCGCAGCACUGGAUCCGUCACAGAACUUCUCGAGACUCUCCUUCCCGCACGAUCUCGAGCAGCCGCCGCCGUAACCGUCCCAGCAUCUGCGCCCGUUCACCCCCCUGCGAGCCGGGCGGCCGGGCCUCUGCUGCAGCCAAAAGACGCCGGCGACCGAGCAGCUGCCGUCCCUCCUCCCCGCACGCCCAAGUCCUUAACGCGCGCCCUGCCCAAGCUACUCCUCUUCAUGCCCCCUAUCAGCCGCGAUGAUGGUGUUCGUCGACCUGCAGCAGUUGCCCGAUCAUUUGUGUAUUCUCUCAGGCGAGCUUCUCUCUCCCCAGUUGAUGCCUCUUGUUGCCAUUCAUUCACCGGUUUGGUGAGCGUGCGGUUUGAUGUGUGCGCUUGUGAUUUUUUCUUUGCAUGAAGCUAGCAACCGUGAAUGAAUCUGGGAUGAUGGAUUUAGCUUCGUGGAAGAUGAUUGUAGGUAAUCUUUAUAUAUAUGAAAAGCUAAAAUUUUCUGAUCCAUUACUGUUCCAAUAGCAAGGAAGGGUAACCUUACUCUAAUUAUGGUCAAUAGGUGGACUGUUGAGUUGCCGAUGUGUGAAUGUGAGUAAUUUUUUGCCUAUGUGCUUGGUUCAUGAACUGAUUGGAUAAUUGUCUUUCCACUGUUAUUCCGAACAAUUGUUUUAAAUCAACGAAAUUGCUUUUCUAAGGUAGUUGAUAUUUAUGCAGCUUCAACUUUGUUUUUUGCGAACAGAGAUUAUAGUUGUUUGUCUAGCUUCAAGGUUUAUUUGCUUGUGCUUGAUGAUAGCAUGGAUGAGCGGAUCCCACGGCGUGGUUCAGACGAUGAACCAGGGUACGGUUAUCUUGUUGACACUACAAAUUCAAGACAGAAAAUGUGAUUCAUUGGAGCUCAGUAAAGAGGUACAUGCCCAGGAAAUGGCAAUAUUGAUCUAGGUUUGCAAAGCGUUGUGUUGAGCUAUAUGAGGCCUCGUUUCAAUGGCUUCUUUAAACCGGCGCCUCUUUUUUCCCUUUGGUGUGUUUUCGAGUCUAUUUUUGUCAGUACCUACCCAAUAUAAUUCCUGAUAUAAUUUCCUUUUGUGAGUUGAACUAUGUGUUUGCAGGAUAUUCAGGUUAGGGAGAUCGAGAAGCUCCUCUAUAAGUUGACAAAGUUAUAGCAAAGAAAAAUCUGCAGGUGCGCAACUCUUGUAGGAGUUUCCACGAUCAAACUCAGCAGUCCUUCAGAUCACUGGCUUUCUAUACCCCCCUCCUCCGAUGGGACACACACAAAAUCAUUCUAAUUGAAUGUUUGUUUGAACAUUUAUGGUCUCCAUCAUCUCUAACAGUUUUAUAUCUCGAACAAAAGCGAGAAACCAGAAGUUGUAACCGAAGGCAACAUCUAUGAAAGACCAAAAAGCUCAUGGAGAAGGCAGAAAGUCACUUUGGAGGAUGAGCUCGAGUGAGCCCUAUAUUUUGAAUAGUGCCAAAAAGAGAAAAGCCAGGCUUUCCCAAUGAAUUUAGGUGUGGACCAACCUCGGACACCAACAACCAUGCAUGCUCCUGGUAUUCUCUUGCUUGGUUUCUUGUCACUGACCAUACAAGAGGUCCAUCAUAUAUAGUUGAAGUAUUUUAUCAUUAUAGAAGAACUAUAUUUUUCCUGAUAAGAUUUUAGUGUUUCUUAGUCUGUUUAUCAUACAAGUGAUGCACAACAUCAUCAUCAAUAUGAGAUGCUCAGACCAGCUGCUUUAGGAUACGAGGAUGUUUAAUAUAAUGUCAUUGUCAUACCAAGAAGGAUUUAGCUGAAGGUUUGUGAUUGAGGAGAAUGAACCGGUGAUAUUAACCUAAAGCGAGGGAUGGAACACCUCUUUGAAAUGCUCUGCAAAUGGAAACAUACAUGAAUAUGUUGAUCCUCAUUUUUUUCGGUCUCAGUGGAUAACAGUAAUAUGCAGAGCUGGAGGAAGACACCGUCGUUGCUCUUCAUGUGUGCCAGCUGAAUGUGAGGACACAGUUGCUCCAUUGUUUCAAUCCUUUAUUUCCAUCCGUCGGCUCUACUGGUAGGAACCUUGGUCAAGACAAAAUUAUGAACCCAUGCAUGGCAGUGGCAGCAAAACAUAGUCCAAAUGUCAAUAGAAAGGAAGUGGGAGUGUGUAGUGGUAAUAAAAUGGGAAGGGAGCCACCCCAUGUGUUUGUGACAACAUAGAAUGAAGAGUUUGUCUAUAUAUUUUUGUUCUGUACAAAUGAAAGGGUUGGGAUUGUAAUUGGUGAGUCACUAGGGUGCAUGUUGAUAGUAAGAGAGCCAGGACUUAAAUACAAUCUAAGCAAAAUUCAGAUUAUGAUU